AAAAAAGUGAUUAUAAGGAUUCGAAUACAAUGAUGACGAGAUACGGUACUUUGAACAAGUCAACAUCAGUAUCACUGUCAUUCAUAUAACAAUGAAACAACAAAUUGAACAAGUUUUCCGCCCCGUCUUUCAGCGACAUAAUAACUUCCAGUAUCCCGAUCUCUGUUGCCACGGACAAUAUCAUCAGUAUUUCCAGCACGGAUUCUUCGAUUUGCACAUUACGCCUAGAGAAUACCUGGCAAAAAUGACAGAUUAUUCUGACGAAAACAAAGUUCUGAACUUCAUAGAGUCAUUUUUCUACGAAGAAUGUCAAAUUAACAUUAUUGUUCGUGUUGGUUUUGGUACUGGGGCUAUGAUGAGAAAAAAUGUCUUCGGCAGAACAAAUAUCAAGCGCGGAUUCCCGUUCCAGCUGGGGUCUAUUCCAAACACUCCCAUAAUUCCUUACACAAACCCACAAGACUUCUUGACUUUCGCAUGGUUCAAAUACAACGUUAUCUGCAAAGAGCAACCGUGGAUAUGCCCUUUUCAUUCUAAUUAUGAAGUCGGAGAGUCUUCCGGGGUUAGAGGCGAACUGCGAUCACACCCUGUUCCUGACGAAUUUUAAAGCAAAACAAACAAAUAAAAAAAAUAGGUGCGGUGUCAUUUAAUGUCAAUUAUUUGACGACUUUCAAUCGCCGAAAAAAAUGUUCAAGAGUUAUACUCCAUGGAUAAACGGAUCUCUUUAACUAUA